GCCAUGCUUCAUUCAAAGUGCCACCUGAUCGAAACCAGUGAAAGCCCUGCUGUCACUCAGCGAGAAUUGUGAGACUGGGAGGAUUUAAACGCAGUGUUUUGCUUUUCAUUCCUUUUCUCCCUCAUGGACGUCCGUGUGACGGUCGUCCGCACACAUGAAUGCAAAGGGGGGCAGUUUUACCUCAGGAAGCCAAAGACGGUGAUCAGAUAUAACAGUGAGGUGUGGACAAGCUGUCACUCUUCACUGUCAGGAUCCCAGUGGUGUAAAUAUCACCCUGUUAGAGUGGAGCAUACCUGAGAUUAAGUCAGACGGAUACGUCUUCUUCUACCGAAACCGGCGCUCAUAUGAAAGCUACCAGCAUGAGCGUUUUAAAGGCCGAGUGGAGCUGGCAGACCCGUCUAUGAAAAACGGAAACGUUUCUGUGAUUCUGAAGAACGUCAACGUCAACGAUACAGGAACAUAUGAGUGUCGGAUUAUAACCAGUAAUCUCAGCAGCGGUCAGAGAGUUCAGAGUGAGUCCAGGCAGUCCAUCGACCUCACAGUCAUAGACUCUGGAAGCAAGGAACACGAAAAGAAGACAUUUCUUUUAGCUAUAGGUAUUGUUGCUGUUGUUUUAAGUCUUUUUGUUAUUCUUAGUGCUGCUGUAUGUAUCCACAGAAAAAAGAAAUCAUCAACACACAGGGAACAUGAACAUUAUAAACAUCCACCUGAAAAAGAGCUGAUCUGAAAUGCAUCAGGCGAUGUGUAAAAUAUUAUUUUCUGACCCUGUUAGCAAGCAGACAGCACAAACAAGGGUCCCCUCACAGCAACAUGCUUCGAUGCACCGCUCCUCUGAUCUCAAGUCAUGUUCUCCCAUCAAUCAUUAAAAGUAACAUUAGGUCAAUGCUGUGGCUGCAACAAGCUUCAUGACUGUUUCUAUUUCUUUUCCCUUUUUUUCUUUUAAGCUCUAACUUUAUUCUGUGCGGUUUUCUGCAGAGCUUGAUCUUACUGUGAGAACAGGCGGCAGGUAGAGAACAGCAGGCGAGCGUAGUGGAGCUUUUAGCAGGUAGAGAGGUGGAGGAGACAGACGUAGAGUAAAUCAGUUCAGACAGUGCAUUAAAAUGGGGCUACAGUAGCACGGUUCGCAGGUCUCACAGCUAAUUAAGCACUUUAUUAAGGUCUUUAAGCUUUUAUUUUGCACCUUUAAACACUUUAUUUUACUUGCUGCUAUUUGUGGCAACUGCAGCCAAUCAGCGACUUCCUUCUUUCUGGCCAUUGGCUCCGUUAGAUCAAAAUAAUUCACCAAACACAAGUCAGGUAAUGUAAUAUGUGAUUAUAGUAUAACCAUAAUAUUUAUUUAAAAAACAUACAAACCAUUAUCACAAUGGUUUUAUUGUGUUAUUAUGUGAGUUGUGGAAAGUUCUGAGUUGGAUCUGUAAAUAUCAGAAACCUUAUCAGUGAUUUAAACUCUGCUGAUCUCACGUUCAGAUCUCCAUCUCGGGCGUCGCUGUCUUUAGACUUCCCGUCAUGUCCAGUUAAAUUGGUUCCUCUGCACAAGUUGCAAGGUUGAUGUUUCCAUUGACUUUCAUUUUCAGGAGUUCACUCGAACAUUAAUCUGGUGAAUAGGAUGGAUUUUAAUUCUGAAGACUUUUUAACACAAUCUGAGUCAGUUGGUGCUUUCAGCCCCUGACAGUUCGGCUCGUUUCCUGUCCUGAUGCCUCAGGAUCUCACCCUUUCUCCUGAUCGGCGCCCUCGCCUGUUGUGCUGCCUUCAGGCAUUGAAACUCAUCAGAAAACUGCUCAGUCGUGAAGUUCAGGUUAGUUUUAAAUACAAUUUGUUUGCUGUUUGUCGUUUGAGGUCUGUGGUGAGGCUGCAGAGCGCUCUGUGGCAGAGGUCAGAGAGGGACUUCCUCUGAGAUCUAAAAGCAGCAGCGGCUCUGAAAACAGUCCAGAGGUUUCUGGUUUUUAUCGAUCUCUUCUCAGAACUUUUCAGAAUUUAAGUCUUUAUUUAUCUGAUGUACUCAGUGUGUUAAUAUUUCACUCUUUGUUUUCUGUUUUGUUAGUCCCCACUGAUCUUCUUUAGUUUGUCAGUUCAAAUGUUGUGGAUUCUUACUGAUAUCCAGUCUGACUCUGACAGAGUGAUAAGCAAAGUUCACUGGAAAUAUCCACUGUCAAAAAAAAGAAAUAAAUCGAUAUUUGAAGCUCAAAAGGGACAGUGCAAUGUGUAAAAGGAAGGUGGAAGAAGAUGGACGGGCGUUCAAAAUUAAAACCGAGCAGGAUGAGCGGUCAUAUCAGGAGUCGGCAGGAGGAACGAGGUAUGAAACCCAUGGAGAGAAAUGUGGCUUCUCUCCAUGUUUAGCUGUUGUUUGUAUAUUUUGUGUCCAAGCCAAGUGGAUCUGUUGGCUCAAAUUAGUAAAUAAUACAUAGAAAAUACGUGUUCAUAUGUAUGCAUGUACACAUGUUCAUUUCUCAGUACCAUUUUUACAUUGGAACUUUGUUUUUUGUGACAUAUUUGUAUUCUAUUCAUGCUCUUUUGUCUUCUGUUCAUUUAAAUUAACUGUAAGUGUUGUGCAGUUGGCUGGACUUUUGAUCUGAACUCAUCAUAGAAAUAAAGUGAGAGCCUCACAUCACAACUAACACAAUGAUGGUUUGUUUGAUGUUUUUUCCCUCUAGGGACUUUUUCUCUGAUUAAAGCAAAAAUAGGGGAACUAUGUCAUUAACUUCAGCCUGUUUACACUUGUGCACUUCCUUCUUCUAAACUCAAGUAAUUAUAAUUAUGGGUGUUUUUUCGUAAAUGCUUCUCUGUAGAAAUGAACUUUCUUAGUUGAGUCCAGCGUUGAAAGACGUUUAGAUCUUUAUAUGCCAAACAAAUAAAUCGGCACAGUCAAGAAACAGACAAUGUUUGAAGUGUUUCUUUUAACUGUGACUAAAAUGUUCCUAAAUUCCCCCUGGUACUGUUUUUGGUAUGUAGCAGGAAUGGCUGCGGCUCAUUUCAGAUGCACUCGGGUUAUUUCCACUCCUGCUCAGAAGUACACUGUGCUCACAAACACGACACAGUAUAUCCCUCCAGCUGCAAGCUAUCAACCUUUACUGACUCGACUGUUUGGUCACAUGUCUGGUUAGCUGACAUUGACCUUAAAGACAGUUUAACUUCCAGGGCACGCAAAGCUAUUUAAAACCUUAUUUUGGGCAAAGUCAGCAGGUUUAAAAAAAACUUGACAUGAUUUGACUGCCGAGUCUGUACAUGUACUUUUUAUGUCUUGGGAACACUUCAAAAAUAACUACCAAAACAGGACCCAUUAGGUCUGUUUUAAUGUUUUCUUUUUAACAGGAGCUGCUUUUCUUUCUCUGUCAUCAUAAAGUCAGACUGGGAUUAGGGAAUCUGCAGCGUCUGUUACUCAUGAGUGCACUUUGCUUCCAAAAUAAA